rnacentral:rRNA from 1 species
GAUGAACGCUGGCGGCGUGCUUAACACAUGCAAGUCGAACGGAAAGGCCCAAGCUUGCUUGGGUACUCGAGUGGCGAACGGGUGAGUAACACGUGGGUGAUCUGCCCUGCACUUCGGGAUAAGCCUGGGAAACUGGGUCUAAUACCGGAUAGGACCACAUUUUGGAUGGUGUGGUGGAAAGUUUUUCGGUGUGGGAUGAGCUCGCGGCCUAUCAGCUUGUUGGUGGGGUAAUGGCCUACCAAGGCGUCGACGGGUAGCCGGCCUGAGAGGGUGUACGGCCACAUUGGGACUGAGAUACGGCCCAGACUCCUACGGGAGGCAGCAGUGGGGAAUAUUGCACAAUGGGCGCAAGCCUGAUGCAGCGACGACGCGUGGGGGAUGACGGCCUUCGGGUUGUAAACUCCUUUCGCUAGGGACGAAGCGUUAUGUGACGGUACCUGGAGAAGAAGCACCGGCUAACUACGUG